rnacentral:rRNA from 1 species
AACGAACGCUGGCGGCAUGCCUAACACAUGCAAGUCGAACGAGACCUUUGGGUCUAGUGGCGCACGGGUGCGUAACGCGUGGGAAUCUGCCCUUGGGUUCGGAAUAACAGUGAGAAAUUGCUGCUAAUACCGGAUGAUGUCUUCGGACCAAAGAUUUAUCGCCCAGGGAUGAGCCCGCGUAGGAUUAGCUAGUUGGUGGGGUAAUGGCCUACCAAGGCGACGAUCCUUAGCUGGUCUGAGAGGAUGAUCAGCCACACUGGGACUGAGACACGGCCCAUACUCCUACGGGAGGCAGCAGUGGGGAAUAUUGGACAAUGGGCGCAAGCCUGAUCCAGCAAUGCCGCGUGAGUGAUGAAGGCCUUAGGGUUGUAAAGCUCUUUUACCAGGGAUGAUAAUGACAGUACCUGGAGAAUAAGCUCCGGCUAACUCCGUG